CCCACUGCUAUCGGGAUGGGACUAAGACAUGCUAGUUGAGCGUCUCCAAGCUAUGGAAGAGACGCGGCACACAGCUCAGUAACACGUGGCUAACCUGCCCUUGGGACAAGGACAACUCCGGGAAACUGGGGCUAAUCCCUGAUAGGUGAGAACUCCUGGAAUGGAUUCUCGCUCAAAGGACGUUUAGACCAUGCUUCUAGGCGUCGCCCAAGGAGGGGGCCGCGACCGAUCAGGUUGUUGGUGAGGUAACGGCUCACCAAGCCUUUAACCGGUACGGGCCGUGAGAGCGGAAGCCCGGAGAUGGGCACUGAGACAAGGGCCCAGGCCCUACGGGGCGCAGCAGUCGCGAAAACUCCGCAAUACACGAAAGUGUGACGGGGCCAUCCCGAGUGCCAUCCGCUGAGGAUGGCUUUUCCCCAGUGUAUAAAGCUGGGGGAAUAAGGAGAGGGCAAGCCUGGUGUCAGCCGCCGCGGUAAUACCAGCUCUCCGAGUGGUGGGGAUGCUUAUUGGGCCUAAAGCAUUCGUAGCCUGCUUGGCAAGUCCUCCGUUAAAUCCAACGAUUCAAUCGUUGGGCUGCGGGGGAUACUGUCCGGCUAGGGGGCGGGAGAGGCCGACGGUAUCCUCGGGGUAGGGGUGAAAUCCUAUAAUCCCGGGAGGACCACCAGUGGCGAAGGCUGUCGGCUAGAACGCGCUCGACGGUGAGGGAUGAAAGCUGGGGGAGCGAACCGGAUUAGAUACCCGGGUAGUCCCAGCUGUAAACGAUGCAGGCUAGGUGUUGGCGCGGCUACGUGCCGCUCCAGUGCCGCAGGGAAGCCGUUAAGCCUGCCGCCUGGGAAGUACGGCCGCAAGGCUGAAACUUAA
rnacentral:rRNA from 1 species